AGGAAGGGGAGGGAGGGGGGGUUGAGGGACAGCAUAGGGAGUGUAAUUUUAAAGAUCACGAGAGACAGAUAUUUUUUUUUUUAGAAGAUUCCUGAAUACUGUUGCUACGAUAUUUGGCAUCUUGAUUCUGUUUUUGAACAUCACCUUUUAUAUAUUCUAUAAAUAAUAUCAUCACUGCUGUUGCUGCUACAUGUGCGGUAUAAUCUUGAGGUAAAGGGACACAGUGCUGAAUGUAAUUUAAGUAUUAUGAUUAAUACAUUUUCUAAAAGAUAGCUUAACUACUAAGGUUGGUAUAUGCGCGGUCAUGGCUAGGAUGGUACAUUGUGACAGUGUAUUACUAGGAGUUACGUCCUAAUAGGAUAUAAUAAACUUUAUCAUAGAAUAAAUAUCAUUUUAGGAUAGUAUCGAAGGAACAUUAUCAUCACAAAUCACGUCUUAAACUCUACCUCGGUAUAGUUCCCUCCCUUGUAGCCGGUAGCCCAAGGAGAGUCCGCCAAGUGCAGCGUCCAAAGUCUUGGCGAAGAGUACUCAAGGUUGACCUCGAGGAUGGAGCCGCCGGCGCCUGCUGUCUGCACCUCCAGCACGGCGCUGCGCCCACAGCCGUCUCGAGAAGGAAAGCGAGGGAGGGUCUUGUCCUGGCGAUAAUCUUGCAGUAAUGAAUGCAGGUCACGAGAUGUCCACAAAGGAGCGCCGAACUGACAUUGGGUGGGCGUGUAGGCGUGGCGAGGAACUUGACGUGUGGGCUGAAUCCUCGAACGAUGCCCGACCGAAGAUCCAGGCUCACCCCGUCUCGGCUGGCUCGGGUUGCGUCUGGAGGGAGUCACACGUGUUAGAGCUUUUCCUGCUUUUUUCAUAUAUAUAUAUGUGUGUGUGUGUGUGUGUGUGUGUGUGUGUGUGUGUGUGUGUGUGUGUGUGUGUGUGUGUGUGUGU